AUCGCUCAACGGAUAAAAGCUACCCUGGGGAUAACAGGCUUAUCUCCCCCAAGAGUCCACAUCGACGGGGAGGUUUGGCACCUCGAUGUCGGCUCAUCACAUCCUGGGGCUGUAGUAGGUCCCAAGGGUUGGGCUGUUCGCCCAUUAAAGUGGUACGCGAGCUGGGUUCAGAACGUCGUGAGACAGUUCGGUCCCUAUCCGUCGCAGGCGUAGGAAAUUUGAGAAGACCUGUCCUUAGUACGAGAGGACCGGGAUGGACGUACCUCUGGUGUACCAGUUGUCCUGCCAAGGGCAUGGCUGGGUAGCUAUGUACGGAAUGGAUAAGCGCUGAAAGCAUCUAAGCGCGAAGCCAACUUCAAGAUAAGAUUUCCCACCGCAAGGGUAAGACCCCAGAAAGACUAUCUGGUUGAUAGGUCGAAGGUGUAAGUGCAGCAAUGUAUUUAGCUUAUCGAUACUAAUAGGUCGAGGACUUGACCAAU
rnacentral:rRNA from 1 species